rnacentral:rRNA from 1 species
CCUACGGGUGGCAGCAGUGAGGAAUAUUGGUCAAUGGGCGCUAGCCUGAACCAGCCAAGUAGCGUGAAGGAUGACUGCCCUACGGGUUGUAAACUUCUUUUAUAUGGGAAUAAAGUGCAGUAUGUAUACUGCUUUGCAUGUACCUUAUGAAUAAGGAUCGGCUAAUUCCGUGCCAGCAGCCGCGGUAAUACGGAGGACCCGAGCGUUAUCCGGAUUUAUUGGGUUUAAAGGGAGCGUAGGCGGGUUGUUAAGUCAGUUGGGAAAGUUUGCGGCUCAAACGUAACAUUGCAGUUGAUACUGGCAGCCUUGAGUACAGUAGAGGUAGGCGGAAUUCGUGGUGUAGCGGUGAAAUGCUUAGAUAUCACGAAGAACUCCGAUUGCGAAGGCAGCCUGCUGGACUGUAACUGACGCUGAUGCUCGAAGGUGUGGGUAUCAAACAGGAUUAGAUACCCCUGUAGUC